GACGAACGCUGGCGGCGUGCCUAACACAUGCAAGUCGAACGAAGCAUAGCAAUAUGCUUAGUGGCGGACGGGUGAGUAACGCGUGAACAAUCUGCCCUGUACAAAGGAAUAGCCUCGGGAAACCGGUUAAAACCGUAUGACACUUUAGUAUCGCAUGAUAAGAAAGUCAAAUCGAAUAGAGGUAUGGGAUGAGUUCGCGUCUGAUUAGCUGGUUGGCGGGGUAACGGCCCACCAAGGCGACGAUCAGUAGCCGGCCUGAGAGGGUGAACGGCCACACUGGAACUGAGACACGGUCCAGACUCCUACGGGAGGCAGCAGUGGGGAAUAUUGCACAAUGGAGGGAACUCUGAUGCAGCGACGCCGCGUGAGUGAAGAAGGUCUUCGGAUCGUAAAACUCUGUCCUUGGUGAAGAAAAGGACGGUAAGCCAAGGAGGAAGCCCCGGCUAACUACGUG
rnacentral:rRNA from 1 species